UAGACAGGGCUUUCCAGUCUAGCUGGCGUGUUAAUUCACUGGCUAGUUUUAUUUACCUACAGGUGAGGCAUUCUGAAAGGAGCAUUAAUCUUGCCUGGAAGGACCGACCUGCUGGCAGCCAAUUCAUCAGCAACACUCCCUGGAAGCUGCUGGCCCACACUUUCCAUCAGUGAAUAUUGUUGAACCAUCAUGGAGGCUCAGGCAAAGGUGUGGCUCCUCUAAGGCAGAGAUUCAGAAAUGUUAAGAAGAGCAGAAUACCUACAGUCUUCAAAUCUGAGCUCCUCUGUGUGCGGACCAUGGUCAGACGUAACUAAUGCAAGAUCUAUUCUAGAAAAGGGCACAAUAAAUACAGCUGGCAGAAGCAGGAGACAAAACCAUAAAAGACAAGAGCAAG
rnacentral:lncRNA from 1 species